ensembl:lincRNA E330017L17Rik RIKEN cDNA E330017L17 gene
AGUGCCCGGCGCACUUCCUCAGGGGCACACAGCCCGGGUCUUCUCAAGUCAUGUUCGAUAUCUAGUUAAGGGGUACAUUUAUCUCCAGUGUUCCCCGGGACCUUCCCUUUUGAUUUUCAAGAACAUUUUCUUCCCUCUGCCAGAGCAGUCCUUUCGAAUCAAAGGCUCGGCUUUUCCAAAGCGUAGUUUCUGAUGUGGGCUUCAGUGGACUGGCUGCGAAGUUCCUGAGACAAUGAGAGGGGAUGCUGGCUGUCUCUUUCUCUUUAUCUUCUCGCAGUAAAGCUCCAGUUCUCCUUGAGGUGACCCUCGUUUGUGUGAAGUCAACAAAACUGACCAGCACACCAUCUGAAUGCUACAGCGGGAUGGAGAUGGGAGGCGAAGCCUUGGAAGCUGGAGGGUGAAUAGCUGGUGUGCACAACCCCCUAGCAACGGGCAAACAAGGCAGGAGGAGUGUGGAAUGGGAGUCAGUGCUUAAUGGGCACUAAGUUUCCAUUUGGUUGUAGAGACGAUGGUGCUGAUGGCUAUAAGGCGUCUUGAAAGUGCUGAAUGCCACCAAACUGCACAAUUGAAACAGUUAAGAUGGUGAAUGUUGUGUGUGUUUUCCUGCCGCUGAAUACUGUAUUUUUUUUUUUCUGGUAUGUUUUAUUCUUGUGUAAUCAGCUUUGUGGUUUUUUUUCCCCUUCCAGAUUAACUCGAGAAUCAACUUGUCACAUUCUAUUAAAAGUCCCUUUGAUAUUUUUACUGCAGUUACAUCAAGUUUAUGGAUUGCCUUGGGGAGAAGUGACAUUUUUAUGGUCCUGAUCUUUCCCCCAGGUGGAGGCCUCCUCAUUGACUGGGAUCUCUUUAUGUCUCUCAGUAAAGUUGUAUAAUUCC